rnacentral:rRNA from 1 species
CAGUAGCCGCGGUAAUACGGAGGGUGCGAGCGUUAAUCGGAAUUACUGGGCGUAAAGCGUACGCAGGCGGUUUGUUAAGUCAGAUGUGAAAUCCCCGAGCUUAACUCGGGAACUGCAUUCGAAACUGGCAGGCUAGAGUCUCGUAGAGGGGGGUAGAAUUCCAGGUGUAGCGGUGAAAUGCGUAGAGAUCUGGAGGAAUACCGGUGGCGAAGGCGGCCCCCUGGACAAAGACUGACGCUCAGGUGCGAAAGCGUGGGGAGCAAACAGGAUUAGAUACCCGUGUAGUCCCUGUCUCUUAUAC